UUGUGGCAGCCAAGCGUUCAU
rnacentral:siRNA from 1 species